UCACGUCUCUGCAGCCGAUCCGCACUGCGCUGAAGUGCAACGUUCUUGCUGAGGUCAGCGACCAUGAGAGGACCCGGGAGUCCGACCCUGAACCUUCUGGGUCCCCAGCUGAACGAUCACGCAGCCCCGGGGCCCUGUGAUGAAUUCUGAUCAGGCAGAGCUGCUGUGUGUAUCCUUCACUGUCAACCAGGAAGGAAAACAGUCGCUCAGGUCAUCGCCCAACAUGGAUUCUCCAGAGGUCAGGUCCCAAAGCAGGAAUCCAAGAAGUGAAAACCAGAGACGCCUCUCCACUUCCUCCCACAGCAUCUCGAGGCACUGGACUCUUACUCCAUGUUCUCCACUGCAACACGAGAGUUAAGGUCAUGAGGAGUGAAGUGGUGAGCUGAGUCUGAGGCUGUUUUCCAUUAAAGGGCCGUGAAACUUUGAAGUGAGACUUUUAACAGAGCGCCCUCGAGGCCCGGACUCGUUCAUUAAAGGGUCCGGGACCAUGGAGCUGAUCUGAAGUCAGGGUCGGAACUGUGAGGCAUGAAACACCACUGAGAGCAGGACUCAUGAUCU